GGAAGGAAAAAAAAAAGUCAGCUCAGUGACCACUUUUAAAAUUAAAGGCUAUUUAAGUACCUGUAGAUUGUUCCAAAAAACUUGUACUGGAAAAGCUGAUUGAGGGCUACAAUAUCAGUGCACUAACUCAUAUUUUUCUUACCUGAUUUCUAGAGUCUAGCUUUUAACAGGUCAGUAGUCUGUGUGAUUUGCAUUAAGUGGCCAUGAAUCAUAUUACAGGGUUGAUUGCACACAUGAAAAGUGAAAUUCACACAACAGAAAUUAGCAUUUUCACAUCUCUGCCUCAGAGUAUCACAUCAGAAGUUAGUUUGGGAUGUGGAUAUCCCUGCAACCAAUGGUGUUCAGCAUUGGUUCUAAGUUGUAGUGAUACGGAAACUUUAAAUCAGAUUGAUUCAACUGGUCUGGGAUACAGACAGGACACCAGCACUUUGGCAAAGCUCCCCAUGUGAUGGAAUCUGCAGCCAAGGUUGAAAUCCCUGCAGACUGAACGGAGAGCUUCUGAACAUGGCUCAUCCUUGCAAAGACUACGAGAAGCGAGGAUCUCCAGGAACCUGCAAAAGAGUUCAAAAUCCAUGGAAAAGAGCUGCCAGUGCCUUAGACCUGCCCUCCUCACCACUUCACUCCUCUGUUACACGGACAGGACUGACAACUGCCAUUCUCACCCAGUGUCAGCCACUUCGCCCGGCCCUCUGUGGCCUUCCCUGAGUAUAGAGGAAAUGCUGACUGGAGCCAGGUGAUAAUGGAAGUAUACCCCACCUGGCUUCUUUCUUUCAGUGAGAGAACUUCCUGUCAUUGGGAUGACACGAGAACAUUUUACGCUUUGCUUUUUGUGAAAUUAGCAUACCCACUUAAUUCAGAUUGAUGAUCAUUUCAGAGAUGUGUAUUGCUAGGGUUCCAGACACAUGAGUGCAAUAACAAUAAUAAAUGGCAAACGUA
rnacentral:lncRNA from 1 species